rnacentral:rRNA from 1 species
GACGAACGCUGGCGGCGUGCAUAACACAUGCAAGUCGAACGGAAAGGCCUCUUUGGGGGUACUCGAGUGGCUAACGGGUGAGUAACACGUGAGUAACCUGCCCUUCACUUCUGGAUAACCUCAGGAAACUGGGGCUAAUACCGGAAAGGAAUCUUUUCUGCAUGGUUGGGGUUGGAAAGCUUCGGGGGUUUUGGAUGGACUCGCGGCUUAUCAGCUUGUUGGUGGGGGAGUGGCUUACCAAGGCUUUGACGGGUAGCCGGCCGGCGAGGGCGACCGGCGAAAUUGGGACUGAGAUACGGCACAGACUCCUACGGGAGGCAGCAGUGAGGAAUAUUGAACAAUGGGCGGAGGCCUGAUGCAGCAACGACGCGUGCGGGAUGACUGCCUUCGGGUUGUAAUUCGAAUUCAGCAGGGGAGAAGCUUGUGGUGACGGUACCUGAAGAAGAAGCACCGGCUAACUACGUG